UCUCUCUAGCAUCUCUCUCUCAAAAGAUAGAGCUCCGGAGCAUUUUGUGGUCUCUCAAAAGGUGCAGCCCCGACCCUCUACAUUCUCUCUCUCUCAAAAGACAGUGCUCUCAAGCCCUGUUGUGGUCUCUCUCAAAAGACGCAGCCCCAACUCUCUACAAUGUGUCUCUCUCUCUUAAAAGAAAGAGCUCUCAAGCCCUGUGGCUGUCUCUCUCAAAAGAUGCAGCCCCAACUUUCAGAGGUCGAGGGAUAUUUCAGGUAGAUGGAAGCAGACAAAUCAGGAUCCAUUGAAGGCUUGGUUUUGUUCUCCAAAAUAGUUUUCCAGGUUUCUCUCUCUCUCCUUCUCCCUCUUAUGCUGGAUAUCUCAAGUUUGUUCUUUGCUUGGCUUGGAAUGUCUUCUUAGGUAUACUUGCAGGGUGAGAGACGUGUUGUUUAAUUCACUUGUGUGAGUGCUUGUUCUUUGUUCUUUUCGAAUUUCAAGAAUGAUUUGGUUGAAAACGUUCUACUUGUUUUAUGUGAGUGUUCAUGUGUAAUUAGCAUAUGCUUUUCUUUGUGAGAGCUCUGGUUGGUUCUCUGCUUCUUGCUUGUUCUGUGUUAUACAUGACUCUCUAUGCGCAUGUAUUGAAUCUUGUUCUAUUC